GACGAACGCUGGCGGCGUGCUUAACACAUGCAAGUCGAACGGAAAGGCCCUGCUUGCAGGGUGCUCGAGUAGCGAACGGGUGAGUAACACGUGGGUGAUCUGCCCCUUACUUUGGGGUAAGCCUGGGAAACUGGGUCUAAUACUGGAUAGGACCAUGCUGUAGGUGGUGUGGUGGAAAGAUUAGUUUCGGUAAGGGAUGAGCUCGCGGCCUAUCAGCUUGUUGGUGGGGUAAUGGCCUACCAAGGCGUCAACGGGUAGCCGGCCUGAGAGGGUGGACGGCCACAUUGGGACUGAGAUACGGAACAGACUCCUACGGGAGGCAGCAGUGGGGAAUAGUGCACAAUGGGCGCAAGCCUGAUGCAGCGAAGCCGCGUGGGGGAUGACGGCCUUCGGGUUGUAAACUCCUUUCAGCCAUGACGAAGCCCUUGUGGUGACGGUAGUGGUAGAAGAAGCACCGGCUAACUACGUG
rnacentral:rRNA from 1 species